GGAAGGUGAGAGGGAGGGGAGGAUAGAUAGGAGGGGGUGGGGUAAUGGAAGGGAUGAUGGAACCGACCAACCAACAUUAUUUCAUCAUUUGUUUCUAGGUGCGCUUGGAGUCAAACCCACGCAAGCCAGCCCGUACUUCACGCCGUGCGACACAGAACGACUCCAUUUCAAAUAGAACAAGAUCAAGUCAGAAAUGAUGUAACACGGUAAAAAUGUCCAAUUUAUUUUUUGAUAUUCGUUUACUACCGAAUGCCAAAAUUCUUUGGCAUUACAAGAGUGAAUCUAGCUGAUGGAUAAACGUAGGUCUUUCAAACAAAUCUUCAAUACCGCUGUAUUGUAGAUAUUUCAGAAAACAUGGGGAAUUAUUUUUGUGGUAUACAAUUGACAUUUGUUAAAACAGAUAAACGAAGAAAGAUUCGUAUAUACGAUUUAAAGGGAAAAAUAACAACAGGCGAUGAGAAUAUGAUUUAGAGGAAGUUCGUAACAGGGUAUCGAUAAUUUGCAUUGCCCCCCCCCCCGAAAAAGGCAGCGUCGACCAGUGAAUAAAGAUGUUUUCAUUAUUUACGGAGGAGUGGGAUAGUGUCUGA